ensembl:lncRNA
AUUUUGUUGUAUUUAUUGAUAACUUUUUGUUUGAAUCUCUCAACAUUUUACAACAAGUAGCCAGGUGGUGAAAACUUUGUGUGUUGCGUUUAUUCUGGGCUCACCUGCUUGCUUGUACAUAUUAGUUAUGUAUUUUAAUAAUGUAGAGAAGCAUAUUGAGUUUGGCCUUUAUCAUCUUAUUCCAUUAUGCCACAUUUUGCGGUAUGUGAGGAAAAUACUAUAUAGCUACAUAUUCAUUAUAUUAAUGAACUGUAUAUUUAAUUUGAUAUUUUAAUAGCAUCUUAAUACAUUAAGCCAUCCCUGCUGAAAAAAAAAAAAACAGCUUAAACCAGCCUAAGCUGGUUGGCUGGUUUUAGCUGGAAAUAGCUGGUUUUAGCUGGUCUCCCAGCCUGGCCAGGCUGGUUUUAGCUGGUUUCUAAUUUUAACCAUAUUUUCUAUCGCCCUGCACCAACCCUACACCUAAACCUACCCCUUACAGGAAAUAUUCUGCUAUUUCAGAUUUUCAAUACACUCCAUUAUGUGUGAUUUAUAAGCUUGUUUCCUCAUGGGGACCUAAAAAAAUGUCCCUACAAGGUCAAAAUGCACUGGUAUUAGGCUUACUAUACUAUACUAUAAUUACUAUAUUUACAUUUGGUCCCCAUAAUGUGAUAAAUACCAGGUGUACACACACACACACACACACACAAACAGUGAUCACAAAAUAAAACAACACAAAAAAUAGAAAAAGAAUAGAUGAUUUAAUAAUAAUUUAAGUUAUUUAUUUAAGUUAUGUUCUAAUUUUAAAUGUUUAUUAAUGUAAAUUCUGCGUGACUGUGACGUGUUUAAAUGGGCGUGCGUGCUGAACAUUCGAGUCUCAUUCAAACACUGGAGCGGAGGGAGUUGCCAUGGAAACGGAGCGCCAACACAACAACUGACAAGCCGGGAAUCACUGACUUUUGCUGCUGUUUUCAAAGCUUUCGGUUUUCUGGGAUCCCAGUUGAAGACAUCAGAACAUCAGAUGUUGGUCUGGACAGCUGUACCUACAGUUCACCACACUGACCUCUCUGCUUUUGCACAGAUAGCUUACUACUACCAUGUUCUGUGAAGGUAUUACUAUAGCAAAACUGAGCACCUGUGACAGUGGAAUCUGCAGGUGUAAAGAAUAGUCGCACAUGCAUAUCAGUAAACUGAAGUCACAAAAGUUUUUUUAGGAGUUGCAAAUGUUUUAUUUACUCUUUCUUUCUCAUAAACACAACACAACAGUAACACCAUUUCAAAUUCU